rnacentral:rRNA from 1 species
GUUGAAAUGGCUUUCCCUCCAGAGUGGAUCCUGAGUACGGCGGAACACGUGAAAUUCCGUCGGAAUCCGGGAGGACCAUCUCCCAAGGCUAAAUACUCCCUAGUGACCGAUAGUGAACCAGUACCGUGAGGGAAAGGUGAAAAGCACCCCGGAAGGGGAGUGAAACAGUUCCUGAAACCGUGUGCCUACAAGUAGUUAGAGCCCGUUAAUGGGUGAUAGCGUGCCUUUUGUAGAAUGAACCGGCGAGUUACGAUUUGUUGCAAGGUUAAGCGGAAAAAGCGGAGCCGUAGCGAAAGCGAGUCUGAAUAGGGCGCAUAAGUAACAGGUCGUAGACCCGAAACCAGGUGAUCUACCCAUGUCCAGGAUGAAGGUAAGGUAAUACUUACUGGAGGUCCGAACCCACGCACGUUGAAAAGUGCGGGGAUGAGGUGUGGGUAGCGGAGAAAUUCCAAUCGAACUUGGAGAUAGCUGGUUCUCUCCGAAAUAGCUUUAGGGCUAGCCUCGAGGUAAAGAGUCAUGGAGGUAGAGCACUGUUUGGACUAGGGGCCCUUCUCGGGUUACCGAAUUCAGAUAAACUCCGAAUGCCAUGUACUUAUACUCGGGAGUCAGACUGCGAGUGAUAAGAUCCGUAGUCGAAAGGGAAACAGCCCAGACCACCAGUUAAGGUCCCCAAAUAUAUGUUAAGUGGAAAAGGAUGUGGGGUUGCUUAGACAACCAGGAUGUUGGCUUAGAAGCAGCCACCAUUGAAAGAGUGCGUAAUAGCUCACUGGUCGAGUGACCCCGCGCCGAAAAUGUACCGGGGCUAAACAUAUUACCGAAACUGUGGAUGAACCUCUUUAGAGGUUCGUGGUAGGAGAGCGUUCUAAGGGCGGUGAAGUCAGACCGGAAGGACUGGUGGAGCGCUUAGAAGUGAGAAUGCCGGUAUGAGUAGCGAAAGAAGGGUGAGAAUCCCUUCCACCGAAUAUCUAAGGUUUCCUGAGGAAGGCUCGUCCGCUCAGGGUUAGUCGGGACCUAAGCCGAGGCCGAUAGGCGUAGGCGAUGGACAACAGGUAGAGAUUCCUGUACCAGUGCUAAUUGUUUAACCGAUGGGGUGACACAGAAGGAUAGGGAAUCGCACGAAUGGAAAUGUGCGUCCAAGCAGUGAGUGUGAGAAGUAGGCAAAUCCGCUUCUCGCGAAGCAUGAGCUGUGAUGGGGAAGGAAAUUAAGUACGGAAGUUCCUGAUUUCACGCUGUCAAGAAAAGCCUCUAGGAAGAGUAGUACUGCCCGUACCGCAAACCGACACAGGUAGAUGAGGAGAGAAUCCUAAGGUGAGCGAGAGAACUCUCGUUAAGGAACUCGGCAAAAUGACCCCGUAACUUCGGGAGAAGGGGUGCUCUAUUAGGGUGCAAGCCCGAGAGAGCCGCAGUGAAUAGGCCCAGGCGACUGUUUAGCAAAAACACAGGUCUCUGCAAAACCGUAAGGUGACGUAUAGGGGCUGACGCCUGCCCGGUGCUGGAAGGUUAAGAGGAGUGCUUAGCUUCGGCGAAGGUACGAAUUGAAGCCCCAGUAAACGGCGGCCGUAACUAUAACGGUCCUAAGGUAGCGAAAUUCCUUGUCGGGUAAGUUCCGACCCGCACGAAAGGCGCAACGAUCUGGGCACUGUCUCAACGAGAGACUCGGUGAAAUUAUAGUACCUGUGAAGAUGCAGGUUACCCGCGACAGGACGGAAAGACCCCGUGGAGCUUUACUGCAACCUGAUAUGGAAUGUUUGUACCGCUUGUACAGGAUAGGUAGGAGCCGAAGAGACGUGUGCGCUAGCAUACGAGGAGGCAAUGGUGGGAUACUACCCUGGCUGUAUGACCAUUCUAACCCGCCACGCUUAGCGCGUGGGGAGACAGUGUCAGGUGGGCAGUUUGACUGGGGCGGUCGCCUCCUAAAGAGUAACGGAGGCGCCCAAAGGUUCCCUCAGAAUGGAUGGAAAUCAUUCGCAGAGUGUAAAGGCACAAGGGAGCUUGACUGCGAGACUGACAAGUCGAGCAGGGACGAAAGUCGGGCUUAGUGAUCCGGUGGUUCCGCAUGGAAGGGCCAUCGCUCAACGGAUAAAAGCUACCCCGGGGAUAACAGGCUUAUCUCCCCCAAGAGUCCACAUCGACGGGGAGGUUUGGCACCUCGAUGUCGGCUCGUCG